UGAAAAUCACCGAGGGCGACCUGUGGAUCCGCACGUACGGCCGCCUCUUCCAGAAGCUCUGCUCCUCCAGCGCCGAGAUCCCCAUUGGCAUCUACCGGACAGAGAGCCACGUCUUCUCCACCUCGGAGCCCCACGACCUCAGAGCCCAGUCCCAGAUCUCGGUGAACGUGGAGGACUGUGAGGACACACGGGAAGUGAAGGGGCCCUGGGGCUCCCGCGCUGGCACCGGAGGCAGCUCCCA
rnacentral:lncRNA from 1 species